AAACCCCAUGACAAGCCUAACAUUGUUACUGGAGCUAAUGUUCAGGUGUGCUGGGAGAAAUUUGCAAGGUACUUUGAGGUGGAAUUGAAGGAAGUGAAGCUGACGGAUGGCUACUAUGUGAUGGACCCUGUCAAAGCAGUGGAGAUGGUGGACGAGAACACCAUCUGUGUUGCUGCUAUCCUUGGUUCUACCCUCAAUGGAGAAUUCGAAGAUGUUAAACACUUGAAUGAUCUUUUGACAAAGAAAAACAAAGAAACAGGGUACCUAUCUACCUACCUACAUUCAUUCAUUCAUUCUCUUUUUCUAGCUGCUAUCUCCCUCCCUCAUUAACUUUAUGUUUUGGUAGAUGGGAUACUCCAAUCCAUGUAGAUGCAGCAAGUGGUGGCUUUAUUGCACCCUUUCUUCACCCAGAGCUGGAGUGGGACUUCCGCUUGCCACUUGUGAAAAGCAUUAAUGUUAGCGGCCACAAGUACGGGCUUGUGUAUGCUGGCAUAGGUUGGGUGAUUUGGAGGAGUAAAGAGGACUUGCCCGAUGAGCUCAUCUUUCAUAUCAACUAUCUUGGAGCCGACCAACCUACCUUCACCCUCAACUUCUCCAAAGGUCCCCUUCCAAACUACUGCUACAUCUUUGAGAUCUUUUUUGAUGAUCAUAAUAUAAUGCAUGCUAAGUAUUAAUUUUCCUCCCAAUGCAGGUUCUAGUCAAGUUAUUGCUCAGUAUUAUCAACUCAUUCGCUUGGGCCAUGAGGCAAGUUUGAUGGAAAUAACAUAACAUCCUCAUAACAUACCUACUACAUAUGAUUCAUUAUCCUUUUUAUUUAUGUUAUCUACUUUGGUUGUCAAAUUUUGAGGGAAAGUAUAAGGUAGGAGAAUCACACGUAUGUUCUACUUGGUCCAUGCAGGGAUAUAGGAACAUUAUGGAAAACUGUCAAGAAAAUGCAAGGGUGCUCAAAGAAGGAUUGGAGAAGACAGGGCACUUCAACAUUGUGUCUAAAGAGAAUGGAGUGCCAUUAGUAGCCUUCUCUUUGAAAGACAACAGCUGUCACAAUGAGUUCGAGGUGUCAGACAUGCUGCG
rnacentral:lncRNA from 1 species